rnacentral:rRNA from 1 species
UGGGGAAUUUUGGACAAUGGGGGAAACCCUGAUCCAGCCAUCCCGCGUGUGCGAUGAAGGCCUUCGGGUUGUAAAGCACUUUUGGCAGGAAAGAAACGUCAUGGGUUAAUACCCCGUGAAACUGACGGUACCUGCAGAAUAAGCACCGGCUAACUACGUGCCAGCAGCCGCGGUAAUACGUAGGGUGCAAGCGUUAAUCGGAAUUACUGGGCGUAAAGCGUGCGCAGGCGGUUCGGAAAGAAAGAUGUGAAAUCCCAGAGCUCAACUUUGGAACUGCAUUUUUAACUACCGGGCUAGAGUGUGGCAGAGGGAGGUGGAAUUCCGCGUGUAGCAGUGAAAUGCGUAGAUAUGCGGAGGAACACCGAUGGCGAAGGCAGCCUCCUGGGAUAACACUGACGCUCAUGCACGAAAGCGUGGGGAGCAAACAGG